UCUUCUGGGUGGGCUAUAGUGAGGUCAAGCUUACCAACCAGCCAGUAGCUGAGUCCCCUUGAUCUCCUGGGGUCUUCCAGGCUUGCUUGUCCUGGGCCUCCAUCCCAGUGAAUAAGUCUGCACAGAGCUCAGGAAACAGAAGUUGCUGGCAACUUCUAACUGGCGUCUGCAGUAGCAGCCAAGCCUAAGAACACACACCUCGGCAUGGCCAGUAGGUGGCAGGUUUGUUCCGUUUUGGUUGGUUGGUUUUGUUUGGUUUUGGAACCAAGCCCUUGUGGGUGGGGAAGCAAAGCCAGCCACAAGCCCUUGUGUUGCUGCCACCUGGUGGCUGGAGCCGGCAAAGCAUUUUCUCUCACUGGGUCAAUCUUGAGUUUCUGCCUCCACCCAAUAGGGCUCGCUGACUCCAAACCUGCCGAACUCACUUGGUGGUAGUGCUUACCUGCCACAGCUGCCCUUCUUGUUUAGCUACCUCCUCUCCACCCCCUCCAUCCUCUCCAUCCUCCCCAUCCUCCCCAGCCUCCCCAGCCUCUCCAUCCUCCCCAGCCUCUCCAUUCUCCCCAGCCUCCCCAGCCUCUCCAGCCUCCCCAUCCUCCCCAGCCUCUCCAUCCUCCCCAGC
rnacentral:lncRNA from 1 species